AAAAGAUUUGUUGGUCCAAUUACUCCUCUCAUUUUACAACUGAGAGAAGAGCUGUAUGAUCAACCCUACAAUAAAAUUAAUUGGAGGAAAGUUCGCCAUGUCUGCGCAAAGGUAAAAAAAUAACAGAGUUAAAGACAGUUUAUUGUAUAACCCCCUGGUUUUUGAUGCAUUUGUUUCUUAAUGUUAAAAGAUAACUGAACAAAACAUGUAAAUGCAGGAGGACCUCUAUUAUCCUCAUCCAUUGAUACAAGACUUCAUGUGGGAUGGUCUCUACAUACUUACAGAACCUCUUCUAACUCGUUGGCCUUUCAACAAGUUACGAGAAAGGGCUCUUCAAACCACAAUGAAGCACAUCCACUAUGAAGAUGAAAAUAGCAGGUACAUAACAAUAGGAUGUGUAGAGAAGGUGCUAUGUAUGCUGGCCUGUUGGGUCGAGGAUCCCAAUGGGGAUUAUUUCAUGAAGCAUCUUGCAAGAAUCCCUGAUUAUAUAUGGAUCGCUGAAGAUGGAAUGAAGAUGCAGGUAAGACAAUAUGCUUUCCCUCCAAAAUCAUGAAUGUUUUGCAUUAGUCUCUGCAAAAACUAAGUUUCGCACAGUAUAGCGAUCGACUUCAAAUCAAUAUUUACUCCGACUCCUAAACUUUGCAAUGGCCAUUUUAAUGCAGAGUUUUGGAAGUCAAGAGUGGGAUACUGGUUUUGCCAUACAAGCACUGCUGGCUAGUGAUCUUACAGAAGAAAUCGGCCAGACUCUUAUGAAAGGGCAUGACUUCAUAAAGAAGUCUCAGGUCAGAGAUAACCCUUCUGGUGACUUCAAAGCCAUGCACCGGCAUAUUUCUAAAGGAUCGUGGACUUUUUCAGACCAAGAUCAUGGAUGGCAAGUAUCUGACUGCACUGCAGAAGCAUUUAAGGUAAAGAUCAUUUAAAUUGCAAAUGUGGUAAGAAAUGAAAAAAAUACAUUAAGGGUGCGUUUGAUUACAAGUAGGAAAAUUACAUGGAAAGAAAAUGAAUUCCAGGGAAUUGAAUUACCUAGAAAUUGUUUUCAUGGAAAUUGUAAAUUAUUGUGUUUGAUUGUAUAAAUUUUUCAUGUGGAAAAUGUUGAAGUAAAAGUAUUUUUUGAUGUUCGUUUGACUUUGUUUUACGUGAAAAAUUGUCAAUUUCAGGGAUAUCCUCUUUUACAAUUAUUCCUAAAAUUUAUUCCCAUUGCCAAUAAUUAAAAAAAAAUAAAAAAAGCAAAAAAAAAAUAAAAUAAAAAUAAGGUGGAAAACCAAAAACCACCUAUCCCCUAGGAAAAAAAAGGUGGAAAAUCACGCUUUAAGGUGUUGUACCUAGAAAUUCAUGGAAAAUCAAUUCCCUGGAAAAUUUUGUCAAUCAAACAGGCCAAAAGUGGAAGUUGGAAUUCGAAUUCCAAGUUCCAUGGAAAAUUUCGUGUAAUCAAACGGGGCCUAAGAUGGGUUCUCACCAACUGUUUUUCUUGUUCCUUUUUAUUACAGUGUUGCCUUCUCUUCUCAAUGAUGCCACCUGAAAUUGUUGGUCCCACAAUGGAAACUGAAAGACUCUACGACGCUGUCAAUAUAUUGCUUUCCUUACAGGUAUCAAUGUUUUAUCCUCUGACCAAUUAUAAAGUAACUUCUCAAGUUUUUUGAGUAUAUGUUGUUGGGCAUACCAAAACUCAUUUUUUUCCUGUAAUUUAUUUGGCAAUUCUAUACCUAGCCCUUGUUUGAUUCCCAUUUUUGAGAUAAAAUGAAUUAUGUAAUAGUAGUUUUUUGGAGAAUGUGUGGUUAAAAAGUAAGGAAAUUUUUUUGAAAUUCGUGUAUAAUUAUUUUAUAGAAAAAUGUGUGGAUGAAAAUGAGUUUUGAAAAAAUGGGGAUCAAACAAGGGCCUAGAUAGGUAAGUUCAAGUUCAUGAUUCAUAUGGUAUAACAACGCACUAGAACAAAAAAUUUUGUUUGAUAUGUCAGUUUUCUAAACAUUACCAUAAUAGCUAUUAAAAUACAUGGCCAACUGCAUAAAUGCUUACAGAGCAAAAAUGGUGGGUUAGCUGCAUGGGAGCCUGCAGGAGCCUCAGAGUGGUUGGAGGUAGCUUCUUCUUCUAAGUUUCUAAUUUAAAAAAGAAAAAGAAAAUAAUUAAAUCCGCCUGCAUGUACAUCUACACUGAGAAACUUAAGUUACUAAUUGUGCUUUAUUCUGCCACAGAUUCUCAAUCCUACAGAAUUUUUUGCCGACAUUGUUAUUGAGCAUGAGUACAAUUCACCUCAUUUGUUUUUUUCCCUUUUACGAAUACAAUUUAGUAAAGAGCUAGACUAACAUGAUUCUGAUGCAGGUAUGUCGAGUGCACUUCAUCUGCAAUACAAUCUCUAGUUCUGUUUAAGAAAUUGUACCCAGAACACCGGAAGAAAGAAAUAGAAAGCUCUAUAGCGAAGGCUGUGAAAUACCUCGAGGAUGUUCAAAAGCCUGAUGGAUCAUGGUAUACAUUUCUUCCCUAUUUUUGCGCUUUUUAUGUUCAAGCAUUGCACACUUUUAGCUAGU
rnacentral:lncRNA from 1 species